CGGGACGUCGCCGCUGCACGGGGCGCUGGAGGCAGCGCUGGCCCGGCUGCAUCGCCAGCCCCGUGCCCUGCUCUUCUCCUCCUGCUUCGCCGCCAACGACACGGCGCUGGCCACGCUCGCCCGCCUGCUGCCAGGCUGCGAGAUCUUCUCGGACGCGGGCAACCACGCGUCCAUGAUCCAGGGCAUCCGGGCCAGCACCUGGCCCAGCUGCUGGCCCGCAGCCCCCCCGGGCUGCCCAAGAUCGUCGCCUUCGAGUCCCUCCACUCCAUGGACGGUGCGUGACCCCCGAAGCCCUCCCGGGAGCCCCCAGACCUCCUGGGGACCCCCAAACCUCCUGGGAGUCCACCAAACCCUCUGGGGACCCUUCAAAACCUCCAGGAGCCCCCCAAAUCUCCUGGGAGUCCACCAAACCCCCUGGAGACCCUUCAAAACCUCCAGGAGCCCCCAAACCUCCUGGGGAGCCCCCAAAUCUCCUGGGAGUCCACCAAACCCCCUGGGGACCCUAGGAGUCCCCCAGACCUCCUGGGGACCCUCAAAGCUUCUGGGAGCCCACCAAACCCUCUGGAGACUCUUCAAAAUCUCCAGGAGCCCCCAAAUCUCCUGGGAGCCCCCCAAACCUCCUGGGGAGCCCCCAAAUCUCCUGGGAGUCCACCAAACCCCCUGGGGACCCUUCAAAACUUCCCAGGGACCCCAGGAGCCCCCAAACCUCCUGGGAGUCCACCAAACCUCCUGGAGACCCUUCAAAACCUCUUGGGGACUUCUAAAAUCCCAAUGACUUCCUGGGCUCCAUAACAUCCCUCUGGUGCCCUCCAGCCCCAUAGCCCCCCCAUAUCACCCCGUAUCUUCCUCAUAUUGCUCUAUAUCCCUUCCAUUUCCCUUGCGUUGCCCCUAUUGCCCCAUAUCUUUCCCUUAUCUCCCUAUAUCACCCUAUAGCCCCCCU
rnacentral:lncRNA from 1 species